rnacentral:ncRNA from 1 species
AAUGAAACGUUGAAAAGGAUUAGUAAAAUGUUUUUCGUCUUUUAUAGAGAGGAAAUCAAUUGGUGAAAGAUUUCUAAAGACUGCAUUUGAACCUGCCUUGGAGUUCUGUAUCGAUUUAAACUAAGAUACAUGCGGAAAUAUCCGUUAUCAAGCAAAGUGUACAGCUUCUCUUUAGCUGUAAAUAAGGGUGGUACCACCAGGCCUCGGUCCCUUUU